AAUAUAUAUAUUAGUAAUAAAUGAUAUUAAAUUAAUUUAUUAUAAUUAUAUUAUAAGAUAUUUAUAUGAUAAACAAAUUAAUAUAAAGACAAAUGUAUAGUAAAUAAAAUAUACAAGUGUAUGGAUAAAAAUACAUACAUUUGUAAUACAUGUAUUAGAUAUUAAAUAGAUAUUUAUUAAUUAAAUAAUUAUAUUAUAAGAUUUUAUAUGAUAAAUAAUUAAAUAAUGACAAAUAUAUGGUUAUAAAUGGAUACAAAUGUACUAAUAAUAUACACAUGAAUAAAUAAAUAAUACUUAUUAUUCAAGUAUAAAUACAUGUGUGUAUAUAUAAAAAGGAAAAAAGAAAAAAAAGGAGAGAAAUAAAGAAACAAAGCAAACGAAACAGAAAGCAGGGGAAGGAAAGAAAGAAGAAAAGGGAAAAUCAAAGGUCUGAAGUUUGGAAGUUUAAUAGAUGGUGCAGCAGAGAUGGCAUGUCGAAAUGAAUCACUGACUUAGAAGCCACGAUUUUCCCUUCCGUAUCACAAACAAUCAAACCCGAAGCAGAUCUUGAGGUUCUCCGGUCGAAAGUCGCAUCAAAAUAAACUGUCACCAUCGUACUUCUUUCCAUCUAUUUAUGGCCUCUGUCAAUAAUGGUAAUUGACCAUAGCCCACAACAAAAAAGGUGACACUAGUCUUUAUUACCCUACCUGAAAACCCAGAUAAGUCAUUCCCACAAGCUUUGAAUGUUAUUAUUGCUUAUCCAUGCAAGAUCUAAAUUUAACCAUACUUUUAUUGAUGUAGGACAGUACCUGAAGACGUGGGUGCUAUCUUCAUCGGAGAUGUGACAUCGGGGAUAACGAGCUUCUACUACAACUUUUUUAUUCUUUAGAUUAGCUAGAGUUGGAAUAUAAUUCCAAUAAAUUCUCCAACAUGUAAUUUUAAUUUUUGGAGGGAUCUGUAAAUUCCAUAAUUUUCUAUAGAAGUUUCUAAUCUCAAUCUGUAUAAAAUUAUUACUAAGACCUGAAUUAGUCUCUUGUAAUAAUUUAUAGGCACUUGUGACUGAAUACUCUCCUAACGGUUCUCCUCUCCAUACCUGGAAGUCCUCGUAGGUUGUCUCUGCCAAAGGGAUCUGCAGAAUUUUCCUAGCAGUAUCCUCAUUAAAGCUCCCGAAAUCCAUAAAUCAUCCCAAACAGAGACACAAUCCCCUGUUUCUAUCCUCCAACAUAAUCCUUUCUCCAAAAUACCUUUGCCCAGACACUUUUCCAGGUAAGCGAAGGUAAAUUCCCCAAUUGAGCAUUGAUAAAAUUUGAAUUUGGAUAA